rnacentral:rRNA from 1 species
UGAAGUAAAAAGUCGUAACAAGGUCUCCGUUGGUGAACCAGCGGAGGGAUCAUUGCUGGAACGCGCCCCAGGCGCACCCAGAAACCCUUUGUGAACUUAUACCUUACUGUUGCCUCGGCGCAUGCCGGCCCCCCUGGGGGCCCCUCCUUCGGGAGGAGCAGGCACGCCGGCGGCCAACCUAACUCUUGUUUUUACACUGAAACUCUGAGAAUAAAACAUAAAUGAAUCAAAACUUUCAACAACGGAUCUCUUGGUUCUGGCAUCGAUGAAGAACGCAGCGAAAUGCGAUAAGUAAUGUGAAUUGCAGAAUUCAGUGAAUCAUCGAAUCUUUGAACGCACAUUGCGCCCUCUGGUAUUCCGGAGGGCAUGCCUGUUCGAGCGUCAUUUCAACCCUCAAGCCUGGCUUGGUGAUGGGGCACUGCUUCUUACCCAAGAAGCAGGCCCUGAAAUUCAGUGGCGAGCUCGCCAGGACCCCGAGCGCAGUAGUUAAACCCUCGCUCUGGAAGGCCCUGGCGGUGCCCUGCCGUUAAACCCCCAACUUCUGAAAAUUUGACCUCGGAUCAGGUAGGAAUACCCGCUGAACUUAAGCAUAUCAAUAAGCGGAGGAA